ensembl:lncRNA
CCUCCGUCCACGCGACUCCGCCUCCUCCCGGGCCCAGCCCCCAGGUCUGUUGAAGCACGUGGAGCGUAUGAUGCGGACUGUAUCGCGGCGUGUUUCACAAGACCUGACUGCUGUACGCGGGUCUCCACCCGUGCCUCACACCUCCUUACAAGUCCCUGUGUGUGUGCAGGAUGUCGGGGGCGGGUCGGUGAGAGCGUGCUUCUUCUCCUGCCUCAGACAGUACAGAGGACUCGCCUGAAAAACACAGCUGCCCUCUCUCCUUCCUGCUGUGGACACAGACUCUGCCCCUGAACCCAAGAAAGCUAUGAUCAAGCUGCCUGGUGGUCCACACCUAUAAACCCAACACUCCACAAGCUGAGGCAGGAGGAUCACAAGUUCUAGGACAAAGGCACCCUUGCCCUCAGAGGAAAGAGUCGCUGCAGGAUCCUGUCUGAGUUCUUGUCGGAUGUGAGGCAGAGGUGCGGUGGGGCUAAGCCCCUUCCUCCCAAUAGAUGUCUCCAUCUUUGUGUCCUCUUCCUCUGAGACCCCAUGAAAAUGGAUGUUGAUGAAUGAUUGUGGCUCCUCUGCAACUCGUCCCAGGCUCAAACCUUGAGAGCUGGGCCCCAAACCCAGAAGAGCCCUGUCCCUCAGAGAAUCUCCUGAGGCCCAAGCUCCUCAUGCUGAUCAAGUUCCCCAAAUGGUCUGGUCUGGUGGGAGCAGCUCUACGCCUGCAUCUGAGACUUCAGGAACUCUCUCUCAUGGAUGCUGCUUUCCGAUUGCUACGUGAGUCUCAGAGGGCUGGGGGGAUGCACACGCGUGAGGACCUGGGUAUCCACUCUACAAAAAGCCAAGCAUGGCAGUGUCAUCUAUCACCCCAGCACAGAAGACAAAAAAGCAGACCGGUGACCUCGAAUGUAAGAGUUCAAGUCUCUGCACCAGCAUCUCACGGGCUACAGUUAACCAGCAUGCGCUAUCACGCAUGACCAGAAGGCACACCUGUCUGUCGGGAGCCUCUGCGUGAGGUCCUGUCUUGUUAUAGCCACUCGUUCGUGUGGACUGAAGUCCCCUCUCACCCCCCUGCCAUCAGAGACUCAAGGAUUUCGUUUCUUCAAGAAUGAACUUCAGGUUCCAACCAAAGGCAAGAUGAUCGCUUGCCCUCUGGUGUCCCGUCUGUAACAACAGAGCCACCUGAUCCUCUCAUACUCUGUUGCCAGCCAUGGCAGCCAAGACGCCCAACAUGCCUGGAAGUCAAGAGUGGCCUUCAGGAGUUUGCUGCACCUGGUCCAGCUACUGCCAAGGUCACAGAUGCACACUAACCUCUACACUCUUCCAGGAGGAGGCAUGUCCGGAAGCCCAGGGUGGCUUUCUGUAGCUGCUCCAGGACACUGCCUAGCCCCACCGCAGGUUGUUGACACGGUAGGAAGCACAGGGAUGGGAGAGGACCCAACUGCUGCCAAAGUAAACCCGGGGGCUACGCAGGCUCUCUUUGAUUUGAGGAGCUAUUUGUGGACCUGAGUACAUAUCUAUUCUUUAUCUCCCCUCUCCCCCCCCCC